rnacentral:rRNA from 1 species
GUUCUACUAUCGAGCCGGCCACAUUUUUCUAAACCUAGUUUAGUGAGGUAAAAUUUUACAUUAGAUGGAUUUUAGUUUGUCUAUGCUCGGGACUAAGACUUGAUACCCUCCCAUUUAAUUGUGAAUGUGUAUCUAUAACUAACUAAAUCCUGUAUUGGGGUAGAGAGGGUAUGGGAGAAAGAGAGUGAACAAAAAGGAGAGAAUUGGUGUCGUACUUCCUCCGAUCCUGACUCACGUCCGGACACUGAUCCUAGUUAUCGUCCUCUGUUGCAGUGUAGCACCUACAUUAAUUAUGUUUAAACUGGUUUCCUAAAUAACAACAAACCGUCUGCCCCUGAACAAGUAGAAACAACAUCGUGCCACGGAACAAGGUCUAUAACAUAUACAGAAAAAUACAUAGGAAACAAACAAGACUUAAACCGACGAAAGUACGUCUAGUUCAACAGUACCUCCUGUUUUUCUCCCCACGUAACGUUAGAUAUAAAAAGUGAUGAUUUACACACUGUGUUAGACAACUCUUUGUGUAAAUCCAUACGCAUCAUAUGAAGUCAUAUACGAGUAAAGUAGACCUCCAUGUUAGAGUUGAAGAACUUCGUUGUAUGUCAUGGCCUCCCACAUUGAAAACCUGUAAAUGCAGUUUUGGAACCUCUACUACCUACGAGCCACUGAUCGAGACGUACGGAAGAUACCCCAAGUUUUAAUGAAAUACUACAAGUAGGACGAUCCGACGUCCCAGUAUCACGAAGGUCAUAAAAAUUAAAACUUAGUAUAUCAGUUAGUUAGUCAGUACCUAGUCUACCAAAUUAUUCAAAAAAACGUAAAGUAUACCAUCACUAGCUGUCUCCGAGAAAACCAGGUUAGUCACUCUCUAGUUUAUCGAACUCGAACGGUAUGUGUUUCGUUAUACUAUGUGCGAAGGUUGAUGUCACGUCUGCGAGGUUUUUAGUCCGAUGUACGGUCGACGUUUGUUUAUAUUAUUUCAACAAACCCACCUAGACAACACCACGACGAAUCCACCUAGAUUAGUUCUGUUGAUAACUAGCAGAAGGUAAAGUUGUCGUCGUUACACCCCACAGUGUACACCUCAUCCUCCACAUUCUCUUCUACCUCUUCCACUAAUAAGAGCGUAAUGUAACUCACAACUCACACCCCAUAUACCUUUAUAAACUUAACUUCUGCUAGGCCAUGGACUCUAUUUACUAGCUCCUCUGCGUACUGAACUUAUUUUUAUAAACACUCUUAUACUUUACUCCUUUAAUGAUAAAGACUGGCUCAGAAUUAGACUUCUGCUGUAAAGAUACUACGAACGUAAGUGCUUAACUUCUUUGGGGACAGAUACUACGAACGAAAGUGCUUAACUUCUUUGAGGACAGCUUAUGGAAACAACCAACGUUAAUAGCAAGUUUAUAGUAGUAAACUUUUCAUCGUUGCGUACAAGAUAAGAAUCUUUUUUGUAUGAGGGAGGUAGGUAUAUAUGUCCCGGAUUACACAAAAAGCUCAGACGAAACUGAUAACUAUUCCAAUUAUCA